GCCCAGUAACGGCGAGUGAAGCGGCAAGAGCUCAAAUUUGAAAGCUGGCUCCUUCGGGGUCCGCAUUGUAAUUUGCAGAGGAUGCUUCGGGAGCGGUCCCCAUCUAAGUGCCCUGGAACGGGACGUCAUAGAGGGUGAGAAUCCCGUAUGGGAUGGGGUGUCCGCGCCCGUGUGAAGCUCCUUCGACGAGUCGAGUUGUUUGGGAAUGCAGCUCUAAAUGGGUGGUAAAUUUCAUCUAAAGCUAAAUAUUGGCCGGAGACCGAUAGCGCACAAGUAGAGUGAUCGAAAGAUGAAAAGCACUUUGAAAAGAGAGUUAAAAAGCACGUGAAAUUGUUGAAAGGGAAGCGCUUGCGACCAGACUCGCUCGCGGGGUUCAGCCGGCAUUCGUGCCGGUGUAUUUCCCCGCGGGCGGGCCAGCGUCGGUUUGGGCGGUCGGUCAAAGGCCCUCGGAAGGUAACGCCCCUAGGGGCGUCUUAUAGCCGAGGGUGCAAUGCGACCUGCCUAGACCGAGGAACGCGCUUCGGCUCGGACGCUGGCAUAAUGGUCGUAAGCGACCCGUCUUGAAACACGGACCAAGGAGUCUAACAUCUACGCGAGUGUUCGGGUGUCAAACCCGUGCGCGAAGUGAAAGCGAACGGAGGUGGGAACCCUUACGGGUGCACCAUCGACCGAUCCUGAAGUCUUCGGAUGGAUUUGAGUAAGAGCGUAGCUGUUGGGACCCGAAAGAUGGUGAACUAUGCCUGAAUAGGGCGAAGCCAGAGGAAACUCUGGUGGAGGCUCGUAGCGGUUCUGACGUGCAAAUCGAUCGUCGAAUUUGGGUAUAGGGCGAAAGACUAAAUCGAACCCAUCUGGGUAGCUGGGUCCUGGCGAAGUU
rnacentral:rRNA from 1 species